UACGUAGGGUGCGAGCGUUGCCCGGAUUUAUUGGGCGUAAAGGGCGCGUAGGCGGCUCUGCACGUCCGUUGUGAAAUCGCCCGGCUCAACUGGGCGGGGUCAGCGGAUACGGCGGAGCUUGAGCAAGCUAGGGGGCAAUGGAAUUCCCGGUGUAGUGGUGGAAUGCGUAGAUAUCUGGAGGAACACCGGUGGCGAAGGCGGCAUCCUGGACCGACACUGACGCUGAGGAGCGAAAGCCAGGGGAGCAAACGGG
rnacentral:rRNA from 1 species